ensembl:lncRNA PYDC2-AS1 PYDC2 antisense RNA 1
CUUCUCGUCUGUCGCCAUGUGAGAUGUACCUUUCACUUUCCUCCAUGAUUGUGAGGCCUCCUUAGCCACAUGGAACUGCCCUGGCAAUCACUAUUCCAGUCUCUGCUUCUAUGAGUUUGACUAUUUCAGAUUCCACAUGUAGGAAAUGCUGGAGUCCUUCAUCCGAAUGGUAAAUGGCACUUGUGACAAAAAUCAAAGUAACUAAAAAAGAAUCUGGUUGAAACCUCAGUAACAGUUGGCCUGUCUACUGCCUCACACUAACAAGCCUGUACAAGAAACAUGGUGCCAGCAUCUGCUUCUGGUGAGGACUGCAGGAAGCUUCCAAUCAUGGUCCAAAAAAUGCGGAGCCUGCGUGUCACGUGAUAAGAGAUGGAGCGUGAGAAAGAGGCAGGAGGAGAAAGUGACCCCCACCUUUACAAGUGUCUGUAAUUCUCACUAGCAGUAUAUUAGAGGGCAAAAGAUUUGAACAGACACAUCAGAAAAGAAGACAUACAAAUGGCCGCUAAGCACUUGAAAGGAUUCUGAACACCAUUAGUCAUCAGUGAAAUGCAAAUUAAAGCCAUAAUGAAUGGCGCUAUACAUUUUCAGAAUGGCAAGGAUUGAAGACCGAAAAAAAUCAAGCGUUGAGGAGAGUGACAAAUGGGGAGACAGCCGUGGUGCAUGAUCGCCGAAUAAAUACCAUGUGAGGAUACAGCAAGAAGGUGGCCAUCUACAAGCCAAGGAGACAGGCCUCAGAAGAAACCAACCCUUCUUACACCCUGGACUCAGACUUCUAAUCUCCAGAACUUGUUAAUGCACAAGGUCUUGUGUUGAAAAUGUAGAGCCACGAGAUAAAAGCAGCUUGGAUGGCUGACUCAUAUACAAGGACAACUGCCUGAGAGUCACCAGGGCUAUCAAGAAGUUUGCAGAAACAAGAAAUAAACUUUUACUGUUUUAAACUUUUGUGAAUUUUGGGUUUUGUUUAUCACCAAAUAAACCUAGUCUAUUCUGAUUGUUAUAAGUGGUUAAUUUGGGAAGUCAGAUAUAUUUAAAAUUGGCUUACUGCUGUAACAUAUACAGUCCAAAUUACAUAAUGGCUCAAAUGCAAUAGAAGUCUUUUUUUUUUUUGCUCACAUAUCACUUCACUGAGAUUCUGCAUUAAUUGUAAUGAUGAGGGUGAGGGUGUCUUAUAUCAUACAGUUGUUCAGCAACCCAGGAUGACCAACUUUGUAAUAUUUUUUCCCACUGGCUUCUAAAGUUCUCAUAGAUAGUAAAAUUCAUUUGGAAGAAGGAGAAACAGCAUGGAGGAUUGCAGAUGGAGAUUUUUAUGGGAAGGCUUGGAGGUUUGGAGGUUACACAUUACUACUUUUACUUGUUGGCUAGGAAACUAUCACGUGGUCACACCUAAGUGCCAGUGAGUCUGACAAUGUGGCAAUUUGGUUGCGGGCCAGGGGUAAGAGGCAAUAAAUUUUGCUCAAUAAUUAUCAGUUUUUGCCACAGAUGGAGGGACUUUUCAUUGUAUAACUAGUUGUUACUGUUUGAAUUUAAAACAGGAAAAUAUCAUUUUCAAAUAAAAACACAAAAGUGGCACAAAAAA